rnacentral:ribozyme from 12 species
UACAACGAGUGGAAAAACUAUAAAACACGCUAAAAAACAAAAUGGAAAGAUUUGCCAUGUAUGACUAUCUACUUCCCUGCAAGUAGAUGCAUUUUCCUAUAACAGA